CCUACGGGUGGCUGCAGUGGGGAAUAUUGGACAAUGGGCGCAAGCCUGAUCCAGCAAUACCGCGUGUGUGAAGAAGGCCUUAGGGUUGUAAAGCACUUUCAAUGGGGAGGAAAACCUACCGGUCAAUACCCGGUAGCUUGACAUUACCUGUAGAAGAAGCACCGGCUAACUCCGUUCCAGCAGCCGCGGGAAUACGGAGGGUGCAUGCGUUGAUCGGAACUUGCGGGGGUAAAGCGUUAAGUCAGAUGUCAACGCCCCGGGCUUAACCUGGGAACUGCAUUUGAAACUGGCGGACUAGAGUUGAGUAGAGGGGAGUGGAAUUUCAGGUGUAGCGGUGAAAUGCGUAGAUAUCUGAAGGAACACCAGUGGCGAAGGCGACUCCCUGGACUCAAACUGACGCUGAGGUACGAAAGCGUGGGUAGCAAACAGGAUUAGAUACCCGAGUAGUC
rnacentral:rRNA from 1 species